rnacentral:lncRNA from 1 species
CCCCUCAAAAUAUCUAUGAUUUUUAAAAUUUUCAUCACAGACCAAUCCAUCCAGGAUCCAAACUAAUGUUUGAGGACACUGAAAAACAUUCUAUUCAUAUUCACAUCUAUAAAACCUGUGCAGUUUAUAAUCAUAUAUCACAUCACUCGAUAAUUCACAUUUAUGGCAACCCAAGCCAACUUGACAAACAUGAACAACAUUUAUAAAUCCAUAAGCUAAAUAAAUUAUACAAUCAGAACUCCAACUAUUCACCACAAGUUCAUAUCAUCAUAAAUUAGACUUAACAUUCAGAAAUUCCAAAUAAGAGAGAUCUCCUAACACUUUGACACAGUAUAUCCAUUUCGGUUCAUCGACAACAUUUCAUUACAUACAAAACAUACUUAUACAACAAUAUCAUAAUAACCAAUCAGACUUGCCCAUAAUUCUGAAUAGCUAUCCACUACCUCAGCCCAAAUCAAACAUCUCGAAGAGUGACAAGCUGACCUGAAAGAUUUAUAUAACAACGGAGUGAGCCAAAUACGGCUCAGCAAGUGACAAAACAUAUUCAGAACAAAAGGAACGGUUUCAAACGAGUAAGGUAUCACAAUGUAAGGCAGAAUAUAAGAAUUCUCAAGGAUACCAUCUCAUUAGAUACAAAAUCAUAUGUAUCAUAUCAUUCAAAACAUAUUUGAUUCAUAACAAAUGGAGCAUAGAGUAAUUGGAGCAUAUCAAUGGCAGAUAGGACAUUUCAAAACAUAUCAGUUCAUAGCAAAUGGAGCACAGAGUAAUUGGAGCAUAUCAAUGGCAGAUAGGACAUUUCAGAACAUAUCAGUUCAUAGCAAAUGGAGCACAGGGUAAUUGGAGCAUAUCAAUGGCAGAUAGGACAUUUCAGAACAUAUCAGUUCAUAGCAAAUGGAGCACAGAGUAAUUGGAGCAUAUCAAUGGCAGAUAUGACAUUUCAGAACAUAUCAGUUCAUAGCAAAUGGAGCACAGAGUAAUUGGAGCAUAUCAAUGGCGUAUGAAAUGUUCCGGAGCAUAUCAACGACAUAUGGAACAUUUUGAAACAUAUCAACAGUGGAUGAAACAAUUCAGAGCAUAUCAAUAACAAAUACCGUACAGAAGCUCAAACGUCGUCUUUGACGUUGCAAACAUAUCAAUCUUAUCCAAAGCAUGUAUAGAAACACAUAACUAAAGCUCUGGAUAUCAUAUCAAACAUACAAAAGGUGUAGUGGGAUCUCAGUCAGAAUGUGAUUCAUCCAUUUCUGAAUGACCACCUGACAAAAGUCUCCCACGUCUGGGAGCUCCAUCCACCCACGUCUUGGUGAAGUCAAAGGGGGCCGGUAGAGCAUCGCAGGCUCUAAGCACAUACCCUUUACCAUUUCUGGCAAAGGUCCAGAAUAACACCCUUUACCAUUUCUGGCAAAGGUCCAGACAAUCCCACAACACCAGAGUACAAGAGGGCAGUUUUAACAAUAAGUAGCACAUAUCGGAAGCACACGCGGAACAACAAAACAUACAUGUGCCUUUACGAGUCAAUACGAAGUAAGCAAUAAUCUUUCACAAUGAUAUUUGGAUUUUGAAAGGAAAUGGAAUAGGCACAUAUCGAAAGCAAAUGCGGAACAAUGGGAUACACAUGUGCCUAAAUGAGUUAAUACGAUAUAGCAUAAACGUUACACAAUAGAUUUCAAGAAUGCAAAUAACUUCAAGGACAAGAGCAUACAAGAAUUCAAAGCAGUAAUAUAAAGCUCAAUUGAAUAAGAAGGCUAAAAGAUAUCAAUUUCCAAAGGAAUGAAACCAGAAUAUGAGAAAUCGACCAAAGCUCGAUUUCUGGCAGAAUACAAGAGGCACAUUGAACAGAUGAUUCAAACUAUCAAUCGUGCUCCAAUUUACUCAGAAAUAAUCAUUGGAUUAUACUUUCAGAUAAGACAGGCUUCAUAUGAAUCGAACUGUCCAACAGUGACAGUUACAAAUAAUUUGGUAAACAAGGGUCGUAGAACAAAAUCUCUGUUGGCAGAAUUCAUAAUGUCAAAUUCAACAGAUAACUGGGCAGGUGUUUGGAUUCCAAAUCUUUCAAUCCAUAUAUCAAAAGAAAGAUCUAUGAGUCUAGUUUCCAAUGAAAUAAGCUUUGAAUAAAUCCAUGUUUGCAACAGGGACUUAUAAGCAGUUCAGUAUCAAAAGGUUAGAAAUUACGAUCCCUGUUUUACAGAAUCUGUAGGCUCAUUUGAAACAGAAGUUUGGGUAGACAAACUUACUCUGAAUUCUUAAAAUAAGCUAUCAAAACAAAGGUUUAUGAGACUAUAUUCUGAUCAAAUAAGUUUUGUCCAAAUCAGAUGUCAAUACAUGAAGUUAUAAUCAUAACAAGGUAGAAAGGUCAGAAUCUUGGAAGUUGCACAGAUUCGAAUCGUUACGUCUAAACUGGAGAUAUAUCAAGUGCAAGGCUAGAACAAUUCAAAGUUCCUCAUAUUCAAAGCAAAUGUAGAGAUAAAAUUGCAGUGAGGAAAGAUCAGGAUACUUACAAUAGGAAAGAUUAGAACAAUUACAGGAGAAACGAACAGGAAACUUGCAAUAGGAAAUAUUAGAACAAUAACAGGAGAAACGAUUGGGAAACUUGCAAUAGGAAAGAUUAGAACAAUAACAGGAGAAACGAUUGGGAAACUUGCCUUUCAAGGAUUUCGAUCCGAAGAUCCAAAGAAGGUGCCUGAUAGAACCCUUACAGAUUCUAAACUUGGGGUUGAUCUCUUUAGGGGAUCGGCCUCCUUGGAACUCUAUAGGGGUUCCUCCCUCCAAG